rnacentral:rRNA from 1 species
UCCCUACGGGGUGCACCAGGCGCGAAAACUUUACAAUGCUGGCAACAGCGAUAAGGGAACCUCGAGUGCCAGGUUACAAAUCUGGCUGUCGAGAGCCUUAAAAGCUCAGAAGCAGGCAUCGA